ACUCCGCGUUCUCUACAAGGGGAGUCGAUAGCCUAGGCGUUUGAGAAAGCGUGUAGCAGCAUGCAGCAGCAUGAAACAGACGAGACGUCAUAACAAGUUUGGUCUGCUAUAUCUAACUAACUAAUUGUUCUCGUCUUACUUCUUUCCAAGGUCUAGCGUCUUUCCGAAUCAUAAAGUAGCUGUUUUUUGUUUGUUCGAUCUAUUGCAUGAUUGAGUGACUCUAGAGCUUGUCUUUGUGCAUGACUGUUUACCCACAAUUGCAUUUGAAAACCCGAAUGCUCUGAAUUGGCGUGAGUUGAGAAAGCGUAGAGAUCGUCCGUCUGGCGUCGGUAUUUCUACUUGACAAAUCGUUGCGUUUGCUAUAGGGCCAGUUUAUCGAUUGCUUCUAUACUAUACUGUCUCUGUCUAGAUACGUCACUCUGUAUGUCGGACACUCGUUAGCUGUGACCGUCUGGUUGCGUAUUCGUCGAUCUUACAUGAAGUAGUCAGUCAAUCUGUUGAUUAUUUCGUCUCUUUCUUACGGUGGGACACCGUCGUGACAGCCUGCAAGAAAUUCUAUAUUAGACGCAUGCGUGAUGGGCUGAAUGCAUGCAUGAUAGACUUGCAUGGAGUUGGAUACAUCGACAGUCUGUCAUUGGCUAACGUUUGUCUUCGUUGUAAAUACAUGCUUAGACAUACAGUUGUAUGCUAGUUGUUAUUGACAAGUUUUUGUCGAUUGCAUCUGUUACAGGCGUGCUGUGUGGCAAAACCUUGUCAGCAAUCGUAUCAUGUACAAGUGUAGCACUCCAACCUUGUCCAGUUGGUUUGGUGUUAGAAAAUACUUUAACGGGCAUAAUCCGACUGUGUGUAAACACAAUGCUCGCCUGGAGUACACUAUUCCUGCAAUUCGAAUCCGUACGACUCGUUUCAGAGAGUCACAGAAUGUCCAGACGACCAAAUUGUUGUACAUAAGCAACAGCUGCAAGCGAUACAAUGCGGUUGUCUCAGUGGAUACAUAGAGAUAGUCAAGGACUUUGUUGUCCUGUUGUGCGGACACGGCUUUCGCCUACAGCAGCACAACACGAACAUACGAAAAGAACAACUCUCUCUUCAUUGAACUCGACUAAUGCGACCUCUUCAGCUGGUUCCAAGUUGUCUUCAAUAGACCUUGAAGUCAAACCUAUCGUUCCCAUUGUGGUCAAUAUAACGAUUGCCACUCUAACAAUUGUGGCCUGCUGCUGCUCCAACAAACGUCAACGUUUUAAGACUGGUGACAUUAGUGAUCACGAGUCUGCAAUUGAGGUGGAAGAAACUUUGCAAGCUGAAAAUCAAGCAAAUGAUCAUGCUUCCAGUCCUACAAUUGAUGCAAUUGAGUCAUGCAGUUUCAAAUAACAUCUUGCAAUCAAUCAACAUGCAGCUAAUCGUACAAGUUAGGACGUUUCUACUAUACUAGUAGCUGCUACAGAACAAGGUCAAGUGCUUGUGAACAACUGGACAAAUCUAGAGAUGCAAUAGACCCAUGGAUUGAUAAUUGACGAGCUGUUUGAAAAGAAAGUUUUAGAGCAACAUUAGUUGGAAGACAUAAGAGCCAAACCAUCAAGAAACACAAAAGCAUCCGUGCAUGUUGCUCUGUAGCAUGCUAUGGAAAUCAUCUGAACAAAUAGAAAUAUUUGCAAGCGUUCUGGCAAAAACUGAUCUAAUAAAAAAUAUCGGAAUGCGAUUGCUAAACGACUUGAAUAAUAUAAAUAGUGCAGGGUAAUCUGCAUGAUAGAGCAUAAAAUGUAUCUUUGAUUAUUAUACUUGAACUCUGACUCAGUUUAUAUUUUGAGAUGCUAAUCGAUUGCAUUAUAGCAAGAAAAUAAUGUUUA